rnacentral:rRNA from 1 species
CGUACACUCCUGCGGGAGGCAGCAGUGGGGAAUUUUGGACAAUGGGCGAAAGCCUGAUCCAGCCAUGCCGCGUGCAGGAUGAAGGCCUUCGGGUUGUAAACUGCUUUUGUACGGAACGAAACGGCCUUUUCUAAUAAAGAGGGCUAAUGACGGUACCGUAAGAAUAAGCACCGGCUAACUACGUGCCAGCAGCCGCGGUAAUACGUAGGGUGCAAGCGUUAAUCGGAAUUACUGGGCGUAAAGCGUGCGCAGGCGGUUAUGUAAGACAGUUGUGAAAUCCCCGGGCUCAACCUGGGAACUGCAUCUGUGACUGCAUAGCUAGAGUACGGUAGAGGGGGAUGGAAUUCCGCGUGUAGCAGUGAAAUGCGUAGAUAUGCGGAGGAACACCGAUGGCGAAGGCAAUCCCCUGGACCUGUACUGACGCUCAUGCACGAAAGCGUGGGGAGCAAACAGGAUUAGAAACCCUGGUAGUCCC